CAGUAAGGCCCAUUUUCUGUAACUGAGAGCCCCUGAUGGUGGAGGGGGGUGUUUGGCUCACUGAGCCCAGGCCAGCCCUUCAAGGUGAGCCUGGGCUGAGGCCUCUGUAAGUGGGUGAAGCGCCUGCAUCUGGCCUCUGUGCCAUACUCUGCGGGGCGUGUGGGCUGGGCUGGCGAGAUGGCCUUGCAGUUGCUGUUUGUUAUCAGGUCUUCUCUAGACCAGGCGUUCACCACAGGCCCAUAUAGAUGGGCACAGACAGUGGCCACACACAUGGGGUCUGGAGAGAAUGAGGAUCCUGGAGUCACCUGGAACAGAUCAUGCCUGGCUUCAUCAGGAAAUGGCAUCAAUCUACAAGUAAUAUAAAUCCUGCCUGCAUUAUUCAGCAGAAGAGCCAUGACAUUGAUGCUCUUUCUAAAAUGGCUCUUCCUUCAAAGAUGUUUCUAUGUGAUCUGUACUUUUGAGGCACCUGGGAUCUCUUCAACAGCCAUGAGAUGCAUAGGGUUUUGCCUUUUAUGUCUUCUCUACAAAAACCAGUGAUUUCCACAUUGUGUUUUAAAAUGCAUCUGAAUGGAAUUGAAAGUAUUGUGUCAGUGGAAAUGAUUGUUACUCCCAGUGCAGUCACUAAGUUGUGUCCUACUCUUUGCCAUCCCAUGGACUGUAGCAUGCCACGCUUCCCUGUCUUUCACUAUAUUGAAGAAAUAAUUAUACCUUUGCUGUAUCAUGUGUGUGUGUAAAAUUCCUGAAAAGUUAAUGAAAGUGAUGUUUAAAAAAUUUCUAAAUUAUACAUUCUAUAUGCUUAAUCACUUUAAAAGAUGAUGCACAGUUAUUUAAUAAAGUGGCUCUCUAUGAGAAGUUACUUCAGUCAUCUGGCCCUAGGACUAUGGGAUCACAUCCUUAUGGCAGAAAGUGAAGAGGAACUAAAAAGCCUCUUGAUGAAAGUGAAAGUGAAGAGUGAAAAA